ACACUGCAGAGAGGGCGAGAAACGUUUCCCUGUCGCGGCUGAUCGAGCAAAACGACCACGGCGUCCAUGGUGCGCACCAUAUUUAAUCGUGCAUCCGCGGUGACUGAGCCCGCAUUAUAAUGCACUAGACACACCGAUAGACGACAGAGACAUGCGUGAGAGGUGAAUCAUUCCGCGUGUAUUUUCGAAACGACCAGCAAACCAUCGUCAACGAACAUGCCUGGUGCAAGCAUCGUCACUCGAACCAACGUCUCGUCUGGUUUCUUCUGUUUGCGUGCGUUCGCCCGAUGUUCUUAGCCUUCUCGCAUUCGUGGAAAACGAAUACAGUUUCCGACGAAAGUAUUCGAAUAUUUGUUUAGUAACUUGUAUAGUAUCGUAAUGCCUAUUGCAAUGCGUCAUAUGACGAGUCUUAUACGGAACAUUAUAUGGAAGAACGUUAACAUUGUAGCGAGACUCGAACUCUCACGAUUAUAUUCGUGAGGUUGGAGAGAAAUUUGAAGAUGAACAUAGAAGCUACAAGAUGCAUAGUGCAAGAGAUGAUAAAAAUAUUAAACUGCCGAGAGUGAGAGAAAGUCGAAACUUUAUUAACUAACGAGAGAGAAACGAAAACUUUAUUUUUCUGCGACUAGGUAUGAUAUCGCGGAAAGAUGAAAGUGAAAAAUGGGACAGGGAUUUGACGAUCAGAAAAAUGAUCACCGUAUUACGAUAAAUUCGUUAAAUUUUCUUUAUGAUUUUAUAAUACGACGUAAAAGGAUACUGAGAAGAUUCUAUUGUGAAAAGUUUCGCUCGCAUAGUAAACACCGUGAGUCACAUGCGUCCCACGUGAUACGCUGUUUUCUUACGAAUCGUCGACAUUCGCGUACGCUUUUCGAUAAACGUCAAUAUUUUCAUGAAAAAUGUUCAAAGAAAAGAAAAUAUCGGAAGAAAAAUAAGAAGAUUGGAAAGUUGAAGGAAUUCUUUUUGAAACGUUUCGCGGUUCAAGUGUGCCGCUUAAACAUCGUGAAUAUCAGACGUUGUGGUCACAGUAUGCUUGCAAAGCACACCAAGGUUUAGAUUACCAUUUCCUAUAAACUUUGCUGCGUUUUGUAAUACUGAGACACUUCGUGACACAUAGAGGAAUACUGAAACGUCGGUUCAGCGGUUGCACGACGGGUUCGCGAAUGGAACAAUAGAAGCAAAGAUGUAAAGAUUAGAAAUCUACUUUUGUGUUAACCGUAUUAAAUAACUGAAUUGCUUGCGAUCAACAUUUCUGGAUAGAUAAAAA